GACGAACCGUGCGAACGUUGUUCGGAUUCACUGGGCUUAAAGGGCGCGUAGGCGGGCAACUAAGUCGGACGUGAAAUCCCCAGGCUUAACUUGGGAACUGCGUCCGAUACUGGAUGGCUUGAAUCCGGGAGAGGGAUGCGGAAUUCCAGGUGUAGCGGUGAAAUGCGUAGAUAUCUGGAGGAACACCGGUGGCGAAGGCGGCAUCCUGGACCGGUAUUGACGCUGAGUGAGCGAAAGCCAGGGGAGCAAACGGG
rnacentral:rRNA from 1 species